rnacentral:snoRNA from 1 species
AUGCAUCUAUUUGACAGACUUGGAGCAGUUACUAUCUGCUGCUAAGGUCUUCACUACAGAUGCAAGAAAAACAUGUCCUUGCAUUUUCCAUCUAUCUAAUUGUGGCAGCUGAGAUUGACUAGAGGAAUACAGGG